CCCCUUAUGAACAAAUUUAGACAAAGAAUAGUGGGCAGUCAGAGAUCACUCCUGGUUCCCCCUUAUCUAUGGUCUAUGUGCCAGCAAACCCAUUUGAUGGGGGUCUGGGUUUUUUAAAAAACAAUUCAGGGAUAUAUGUUAAGAUGUUGUCUUUAGUUUCCAUAGAAAACCAAACAUCUUGUGACUCUAACUUCCUUGGCUAUUGCUUUAAGCUACUAUUACCUUCUUGCUUAUCAAGUUGUUCCUUUACUUCUCAGGGCUAGCUGUAAUUUCCCUUUAAGGAACUCAAGAUUUUCCUUUAUUUCCAUGUUUGUGGGGGUUGUCCAACAGAUCCCUAGGAGGGGUCCAUGCUCCGUCUCAUUUGCAACAUUCCAGAAGCCUUAAAAUAUAUCUAUUAUUUGGCCUAGCAAUUCCUCUUUCAGGAAUUUAUCCUAAGAAACGAUUUUUUAAAUUAAACAUUAUAUAUAAAGAUAUUAAGCAGUAUUUAUAACAGUAAAAAUGGAGCCAACCAGAAUGUUCAAUAACAAGACACUGAUUAAAAUAACUAAUGGAACAUUAUGAUGAAAUUCUAUCAUUAAAAAAUAAUACUGAAAGCAAUUUGUUACUGGUAAUGAUGUAAUACCUUGAAUCAACUAAUCAUUGUACCAAAAACAAUUAGAAACUCUGAGGCAAAAUGUUGUUUCAAAAGAUUGCUGUUUGAAGUCUUGUCCAGCAUGUAAGGAGCUCAGAAGUUAUCACUCCCAUUCUCACACAAGAAAAAGUCUGACCAAACUGUAAAUCAACAACUCUUUCCAUAUCCACCAGGAAAUUGAAGUCACUGAUUCCCCGCAAAAUUGAAAAGACAGACAGGUAGAUACAUAGAAUCAGAACUCAAUGAAGCAGAAGCCAGGAAACAGAAGUCUCCAUGGGAACCAGUACUGAAGAAAGAAAUUCUAAAAUGUAAUUGACAAAUUGCUGGAGGCUCAGUGUGGACAAAUCUGAGAGUUAAAAACUCUGGGAGAAUCAACUAUCCAGUGUUCAGUCACUUCCUUUGAAAGGCUACUACAUCAUGGUGACUUGAUCCAAACAUCGAAGUUAACAUUCCAUCACCUAAACUAUACUGAAGGCUGGAGGGAGGGGAAGCCAACAGAGGAGAGGUCAGAAGAGAAGGAAAUCUAUAAUGGUCAGAAGAGGAAAUUAAUAGACAUGGUCUAAGAUUGAUAAAUCAAGAAAUCAUCAUAGAUGAAGGUGAAUGCCAAGAAAAACAAGCCCCAGAGAUGAAAGCAACUGUCUCUGAAGUGAAACUGGAGGCUGGAAGGGGAAGGGAGGGAACUGAAGUUUUUCAUCCUAAGCUUUUUAAUUCUAUGACUGUUUUCCUCCAUAUGUGUGUGUGACUUUGAGACACAUUAUUUACUUUUAAAAUUGGAGACAAAAAGAUGUGCCACAUAGGUGAUGAAAGGAGAAUAUGUCUACAAAGCAAUCCCUGUCAAAAAUAUGCAUUCUUAGGAACACCACAGUCUCAUGGCUCAUGUUAGAGCCAUUUCUAAUUGCUUUCCUUCUCUCCCACAGUUGCUCCCUGAGAAGGUAACUGAGAGAAAGCCCAGUAUCUCACAAACCUUCACUUUCUUUCCCUAUUUCAGCUACAAAUUUCUUGUAUUAAUUUCUUGUGACUGCUGUAACAAAUUACCACAAACCGGGCACUUCAGACAACAGAAAUUUAUUUCCUCACAGUUCUGGGGAUGGAAAGUUCAAAAUCAAGGUAUCAGCAGGGUCACACUCCCUCGGGAGGCGCUAGCCUCCUUCCUUGCCUCUUCCAGCUUCUGGGGGCUCCAAGCAUCCCUUAGCUUGUGGCCACCUCACUCCAAUCUCUGUGACCACACUGUCUCCCCCUUGUCUGUCUCAAAACUCCUUCUGUCUCUCUUUUAGAGGGAUACUUGUGAUGGCAUUUAGGGCCAACCCAGAUAAUCGAGGAUAAUCUCUUCAUCUCAGAACCCUUAACUUAAUCAUAUCUGCAAAGUCCCCUUUUGCCAUUUAAAGUACCAUUCAUCGGUUCCAAGGAUUAGAACUUAUACAUAUCAUUUUGGAGGCCACUAUUCACCCCCAGGACAUUAUCCCUACAUCAUUUCAUGCCUGUGCCUCUGCUCUCCUGGGCUCCAAUUUAUACUAUACCACGGCUGGAAGAAUCCCAUGUCCACGUCAUUUUCACCACACCCCUCCACUCUCAAAACCUCGACCAGGAUUCCUCUUGCCAUUGAAUCAGAGCCGGCUGCAACUGGAAGGGGCCUGAGAGACCUCCUCAUCCCUCUUCUAACCAAUGAGGAACUGAGGCCAGGGGGCUUACCAGGUCACAUAGCUCACCAGUAACAGCUUAGAGCAUCUCUUGAUUUCUAAGCAAAAACUAGUCCCACAAAACCAUGCCCGUUACUCACAGUGGUCCCCUCCUAUCUCGCCAACCCUAUUUCCUUCACAGCCAGCCUCAGCUCCUGUCAGCUAAUCCAUCUGCUCCUGUUCCUUUUGAUUUGUAUAGGUACAAAUAACCUUGCCUGCAAGUCUAAUCCCAAAAUCACCUCUUUUAGGAAGUCUUUUCUGGUUAAAAAUGUCUAAUUAUAAUCACUUCUUUGUUCUGUGGUCCCUCAGAAAUCCUGUAGUAAGUUGGGGCUAUAUUAGUUGCACUCACUUAUUUGUGGCCUUCAAACAUUCUAAUUUUUGGGUUCUAGCUACAGGUUUAAUCCCAAAUUUUUCACACCUUUGAUAUCCUUCUCCACACUACUCAGCCCAUAAUCUAACACACUGCAUUCCCUCUCUUUCUCCCUCUCCCUCAGACACACACACACACACAAAUACGCAUGCACACGCGCAAGUUGCUACUGUCACUUCUUAAAAGUUGACUAGGCCAGGCCCAGUGGCUCAUGCCUGUAAUCACAGCACUUUGGGAGGCCGAGGUAGGUGGAUCACUCGAGGUCAGGAGUUCUAGACCAUCCAGCCUGGCCAACAUGGUGAAACCCCAUCUCUACUAAAAAUGCAAAAAUUAGCCGGGUGUGGUGGCGCAUGCCUGUAAUCCCAGCUACUUGAGGCAGGAGAAUCGCUUGAACCCAGGAGGCAGAGGUUGCAGCAAGCCGAGAUCGCGCCAUUGCACUCCAGCCUGGGCAACAAGAGUGAAACUCCAUCUUAAAAAAAAUAAAUAAAUAAGUUGUUGACUAAGGGAUCACAUCCUGUGAACUACAGCCAGGUGUGUCUGGACAGAGAAC
rnacentral:lncRNA from 1 species